CCUUGCUCCAGGUGAUAGUUGAG
rnacentral:siRNA from 1 species